CCUACGGGAGGCAGCAGUGGGGAAUAUCGGACAAUGGGCGCAAGCCUGAUCCAGCAAUGCCGCGUGUGUGAAGAAGGCCUUCGGGUUGUAAAGCACUUUUAUCGGGAGCGAAAUACCAUUGGCUAAUAACCGGUGGGGCUGACGGUACCUGAAGAAGAAGCACCGGCUAACUACGUGCCAGCAGCCGCGGUAAUACGUAGGGUGCGAGCGUUAAUCGGAAUUACUGGGCGUAAAGCGUGCGCAGGCGGUUAUUUAAGACAGAUGUGAAAUCCCCGGGCUCAACCUGGGAACUGCGUUUGUGACUGGAUAGCUGGAGUAUGGCAGAGGGGGGUGGAAUUCCACGUGUAGCAGUGAAAUGCGUAGAGAUGUGGAGGAACACCGAUGGCGAAGGCAGCCCCCUGGGCCAAUACUGACGCUCAUGCACGAAAGCGUGGGGAGCAAACAGGAUUAGAUACCCUGGUAGUCCACGCCCUAAACGAUGCGAACUAAGUGUUGGGGAAGGAGACUUCCUUAGUACCGCAGCUAACGCGUGAAGUUCGCCGCCUGGGGAGUACGGUCGCAAGAUUAAAACUCAAAAGGAAUAGACGG
rnacentral:rRNA from 1 species